rnacentral:tRNA from 1 species
GGAUAGCUCAGCUGGUAGAGCAGAGGACUGAAAAUC